AGUUCGGAUUGUAGUCUGCAACCCGACUACAUGAAGCUGGAAUCGCUAGUAAUCGCGGAUCAGAAUGCCGCGGUGUAUACGUUCCCGGGUCUUGUACACACCGCCCGUCACACCAUGGGAGCCGGGAAUGCCCGAAGUCGGUGACCUAACCGUUUAAGGGGGGAGCCGCCGAAGGCAGGUCAGGUAACUGGGGUGAAGUCGUAACAAGGUAAC
rnacentral:rRNA from 1 species